AUGGCUCAGAUUGAACGCUGGCGGCAGGCCUAACACAUG
rnacentral:rRNA from 1 species